AUUGAACGCUGGCGGAAUGCUUUACACAUGCAAGUCGAACGGCAGCACGGGGGCAACCCUGGUGGCGAGUGGCGAACGGGUGAGUAAUACAUCGGAACGUGCCCAGUCGUGGGGGAUAACGUAGCGAAAGUUACGCUAAUACCGCAUACGAUCUACGGAUGAAAGCGGGGGACCGUAAGGCCUCGCGCGAUUGGAGCGGCCGAUGUCAGAUUAGGUAGUUGGUGAGGUAAAGGCUCACCAAGCCGACGAUCUGUAGCUGGUCCGAGAGGACGACCAGACACACUGGGACUGAGACACGGCCCAGACUCCUGCGGGAGGCAGCAGUGGGGAAUUUUGGACAAUGGGCGCAAGCCUGAUUCAGCCAUUCCGCGUGCAGGACGAAGGCCUUCGGGUUGUAAACUGCUUUUGUACGGAACGAAAAGGCUCUGGUUAAUACCUGGGGCUCAUGACGGUACCGUAAGAAUAAGCACCGGCUAACUACGUGCCAGCCGCCGCGGUAA
rnacentral:rRNA from 1 species